AUAUGCUAUGGCAAAUAAUACUGCUAUGAACAUUCGUGUACAUUUAUCCUGUUUCACACAUUGAAAGUUUUCACUCUCAAUGUGUGAACAGGAUAAAUGUACACGAAUGUUCAUACUCUCCAUGUGUGAAACAGGAU
rnacentral:miRNA from 1 species